UAAGCUAAAUAAACUUUAGUCAGUAAACUAAAAUUAUUUAUGACCUAUUUUUUUAUGUUAAAAGUUUCUUGUUACAAAGAAAAAAUUUCGAUGCACUAUAUUUGAAGCGAAAUGAGAAAAUUAUUUUUUUUUUUUUAUAUUUCGCUAUUUGUGAUUCUAAUUUCAUCUAUCAAUACUAUUACUGAAGCAAAAGAUGCUAAGGAUUCUUCUUUCUUUUUGAAGCGUGUAGCGAUGGAAGAAGAUUUUGAUACUCCGACAUCCAGUUCAAAAAAACAGAUAGUAGGAAAUGUUAUGCCCUUGCCAGGAAGAAGAACGCUAAGCAAAGAAUAAAGUCUAUGAGGAAAACAAUGAACAAUUAAAAAAAUAUUUUUGUUGUUAUUUUGUUGUAAUUUAUUUGAACAAAUAUAAUUGCUUUAAUUGCUCCUUAAAAUAUUUUGCUUUUUCAUACAUUUACUACUAUACUUAUAAAUGGAGAAUAAAUGGAAAUGUUAUUUUAGUUUUGUACUAACAAAUAUUACUUUAAUCUAUAAUUAAUGUUUAUGAUAGUGUAGUCCUAUGAAUGUGUCUGUUACACGUGAACUCACUUUGUUAUGCAAGAUGACGAUAUGAAAUAGAAUAAAUUUUAGAAUAAUGAAAUUUAAGGUAUAUAUUUUCAAAUUUUACAAAUGUUAGGAAAAUAAUAUGGAAUAAAUCAUUUUGUAAAUCGGUAUUCACACAUUGGACAUUGUAAAUGUAUAAAAAAAAUGUGUUUAAUUUAUACAUAAAGAUAGCAACUUC
rnacentral:sRNA from 1 species